AUCGUGGAGUUAAUGAGUAACACAGACAUUCUAUUUAGAUUUCUAGAGCCACUCCACUAGUCACUAGGCUGUAGGCGCGGAUAGAACAGACGAACAGACCAGGUCCUUCCUUGACAGAAAAUUUGGAGAAGGUUAGCGACGUAAUUUCACGAACUUGGAGCACAAUUUUCAAAGUCAAAGUGUAGCCGAACGUGUAACGCGUCACACCCACGGAGAACUGUGUUUCGCUGUACAAAGAAUCAACGUGAAAUUAAUCCUACGGUAGUCGUGCCUUAAUGAAUUGCUUCCCCCCCCCCUUUAAUGACACUGACAAAUCGGCGUCUCAAGGUUACCGAUACUGUCGAACAGCGUUGAAUGGGACACCAGUGGAGCAUUGAACAACAAAAUAGCUGGCCAGCAAGCAAGUUCAUCUCGCCAACCCUUUUUGGAGUGGCUAUCGCGUAAAACCCGAGAUGGAAGUCAAGUGUAGACUUUUAGAAAUCCCGGGAAAAGCUACUAUCCUUGUUGGUCGCCAUCGCAUAGAAAUCGACCCUCGAGUCAUUUAUAGAACUAACGCCGAUGCUUUGCGUGCAUUUUUGGAGAAACAAUGCGCCGGAUUUACGUCGAACCAACCCAACGGCGACUUGACAGUAGAUGAGUCGCUCAUUCUGAGUCUCGUCCAGCAUUAUAUACUUCUUGUUAUUGGCUCAAGAGCCUGGACUAUGCGUCACUAUCCGUUAUCAGCGGGCUCGAUUGGCUUGACGAAUCAACUUGGAACAAGUUUCGAGCAACACUUGAUUUGUCAGACAUCAUUACCACCAGUCACGUAGGCGAGUUAUGGGGAAAAUUUCAUCGCCUUUGGGUUCAGCAACCCUCGAAAACUUCUGAUAUUCAAAUCAUCUGCUUCGGUUUUGAUGAAGGCUCCGAGGGGGCGGAAACUCAAAAAAGUUAAAAAAAAUUACCCAAAAAGUAAAAGGUAAAGCGCCAAAAGAAAUUUGUUGGCGCGAAAUGACAAAACAUAAGAUAGGGAAGAAAAAUCGGAAAAAAAGAAAAAA
rnacentral:lncRNA from 1 species